AUGCUGAUUUUACGGAAGAUAUUUAAAAGGGAGAACGCUCAGUCUGACACUGCUGUCAUCAUGUGUUUGCACAGAGAUAGCACAGGGUAUCGGUAUCUGUCUCUGUCUCUCUCCCUCUUCGCUGCUAUAUUUAUCACCCUCCUGGCCAUAAAAGGUCUGGACUGGGGCUCUGACAUUCCACUGACUGCAGGCAUUAUUUUUGUUCUGGACCUUCAAGUCCAGUCCCUACCCCUGGUCCUGACUACCUCUCCCUUUGCUGCAUUCAUUGCUGCUGUGUUUUUCUGUUGUUCAUCCAUUUCAGAGCUAUUCCAAUUGCCGUUGUUCUUCUGGGCCCUGUAUUUACAGUAUCUCUGAAGAAGCUGAACACAAGAUUUCAUUAGCUGGCAGUAAUGACUGGAAAAUACAGUCCUGUUAUAUCUACAAUCAGAAGAGUGCAGCAAA
rnacentral:lncRNA from 1 species